AUUGAGCGCUGGCGGCAGGCCUAACACAUGCAAGUCGAGCGAGCGGAGGACGGGUGAGUAAUGUAUGGGGACUGCCCGGUAGUGGGGGAUAACUACUGGCACCGGUAGCUAAUACCGCAUACUAUCGGAUAACCUAUAUGGGAUUAGCUAGUAGGUGAGGUAAUGGCUCACCUAGGCGACGAUCCCUAGCUGUGCUGAGAGGAUGAUCAGCCCCACUGGGACUGUGACACGCCCAAGGCUCCUACGGAGGCAGCAGGGGGGAAUAUUGCACAAUGGGCGCAAGCCUGAUGCAGCCAUGCCGCGUGUAUGAAGAAGGCCCUAGGGUUGUAAAGUACUUUCAGUCGGGAGGCGUUACCGACAGAAGAAGCACCGGCUAACUCCGUGCCAGCAGCCGCGGUAAUUC
rnacentral:rRNA from 1 species